rnacentral:tRNA from 1 species
UGGAGGAUAAUUUAAUUGGAAAAAUAUCGGUCUGCAAGACUGCAAAUGUAGGUUCGAAUCCUUGCUCCUCCAC